rnacentral:rRNA from 1 species
UACGAGGGGUGCAAGCGUUGCUCGGAAUUAUUGGGCGUAAAGGGUAGGUAGGUGGUCUCAUUUGUCUGGGGUGAAAGCCUUGAGCUUAACUCAAGAAGUGCCCCGGAAACGGUGAGACUGGAGUCCUGGAGAGGGUCGUGGAAUUCCCGGUGUAGCGGUGAAAUGCGCAGAUAUCAGGAGGAACACCGGUGGCGAAGGCGGGUCUCUGGGCAGUAACUGACGCUGAGGAGCGAAAGCGUGGGGAGCGAACAGG